rfam:Aedes albopictus isolate Foshan contig17671, whole genome shotgun sequence.
UGCUCUGUAGCUUAGUUGGUUAAAGCGCCGGACUAGCGAUAACGAAGUCGUGGGUUCGAAUCCCACCAAAACAA